rnacentral:rRNA from 1 species
UGGGGAAUUUUGCGCAAUGGGCGAAAGCCUGACGCAGCAAUGCCGCGUGAGCGAUGAAGGCCUGAUGGUUGUAAAGCUCUUUCGCUAGGGAAGAAGAUCUGACGGUACCUAGAGAAGAAGCACCGGCUAACUCCGUGCCAGCAGCCGCGGUAAUACGGAGGGUGCAAGCGUUGUUCGGAAUUACUGGGCGUAAAGCGGGCGUAGGCGGUUUAUCAAGUCUGGUGUGAAAUCCCGGGGCUCAACCCCGGACGUGCACUGGAAACUGGUGAACUUGAGUACUGGAGAGGGUGGUGGAAUUCCCGGUGUAGAGGUGAAAUUCGUAGAUAUCGGGAGGAACAUCAGAGGCGAAGGCGGCCACCUGGACAGAUACUGACGCUGAGGUCCGAAAGCGUGGGGAGCAAACAGG